rnacentral:rRNA from 1 species
UACGAAGGGGGCUAGCGUUGCUCGGAAUCACUGGGCGUAAAGCGCACGUAGGCGGCUUUUUAAGUCAGGGGUGAAAUCCUGGAGCUCAACUCCAGAACUGCCUUUGAUACUGAGAAGCUUGAGUCCGGGAGAGGUGAGUGGAACUGCGAGUGUAGAGGUGAAAUUCGUAGAUAUUCGCAAGGACACCAGUGGCGAAGGCGGCUCACUGGCCCGGUACUGACGCUGAGGCGCGAAAGCGUGGGGAGCAAACAGG